GGAGAGGUGGCCGAGUGGACGAAGGCGGUAGACUCGAAAUCUACUGUAGUUUGCGCUACCGUGGGUUCGAAUCCCACCCUCUCCU
rnacentral:tRNA from 1 species